rnacentral:lncRNA from 1 species
AUAGUACCAAGGAAGACUCCCAUCAAGGACCAGAAAGCAAUAUCUCUCAUCAUCUAACAUCAAGGCAGCUGACAGCUGGCCCCUGCCUGUCUUAUCUUUCCAACUCAAUAGCAGACAAGACCUUCCUCAGAGAGACUUGGGGAUGAGGAGUGAACACAACAUUUUGCAAAACAGCACAAAGCAGGGGUGACAUCCAGGAAAUGUCCUUCUGGGUGGAGUCCCUGGGAUAAACAUUGCUGCCUUCUGACUCUAGUUAGAAAUGCAACCUGAAAGAGCACUGAAAGAUCCUGCAGAAAAUGGUAAGGAGGAAGGGGUCUUCCCAUUGUUCUUCAUUUGUCCUUC